UACGUAGGCAGCGAGCGUUGUUCGGAGUUACUGGGCGUAAAGGGUGUGUAGGCGGUUAUUUAAGUUUGGUGUGAAAUCUCCCGGCUCAACCGGGAGGGUGCGCCGAAUACUGAAUGACUUGGAGUGCGGGAGAGGUGAGUGGAAUUCCUGGUGUAGCGGUGAAAUGCGUAGAUAUCAGGAGGAACGCCGGUGGUGUAGACGGCUCACUGGACCGUAACUGACGCUGAGACACGAAAGCGUGGGUAGCAAACAGG
rnacentral:rRNA from 1 species